rnacentral:rRNA from 1 species
GACGAACGCUGGCGGCGUGCCUAAUACAUGCAAGUAGAACGCACAGUUUAUACCGUAGCUUGCUACACCAUAAACUGUGAGUUGCGAACGGGUUAGUAACGCGUAGGUAACCUGCCUGGUAGCGUGGGAUAACUAUUGGAAACGCUAGCUAAUACCUCAUAAUAUUAAUUAUUGCAUGAUAAUUUAUUGCAAGAUGCAAUUGCAUCACUACCAGAUGGACCUUCGUUGUAUUAGCUAGUAGGUGAGGUAACGGCGCACCUAGGCGACGAUACAUAGCCGACCUGAGAGGGUGAUCGGCCACACUGGGACUGAGACACGGCCCAGACUCCUACGGGAGGCAGCAGUAGGGAAUCGUCGGCAAUGGACGAAAGUCUGACCGAGCAACGCCGCGUGAGUGAAGAAGGGUGUCGGAUCGGAAAGCUCUGUUGUAAGAGAAGAACGGGUGUGAGAGUGGAAAGUUCACACUGUGACGGUAUCUUACCAGAAAGGGACGGCUAACUACGUG